rnacentral:rRNA from 1 species
AGUGAACGCUGGCGGCAGGCCUAACACAUGCAAGUCGAACGGCAGCACAAGAGAGCUUGCUCUCUGGGUGGCGAGUGGCGGACGGGUGAGGAAUGCAUCGGAAUCUGCCCAUUCGUGGGGGAUAACCUCGGGAAACCGGGACUAAUACCGCAUACGACCUACGGGUGAAAGCAGGGGAUCUUCGGACCUUGCGCAGAUGGAUGAGCCGAUGCCGGAUUAGCUAGUUGGAGGGGUAAAGGCCCACCAAGGCGACGAUCCGUAGCUGGUCUGAGAGGAUGAUCAGCCACACUGGGACUGAGACACGGCCCAGACUCCUACGGGAGGCAGCAGUGGGGAAUAUUGGACAAUGGGCGCAAGCCUGAUCCAGCCAUGCCGCGUGUGUGAAGAAGGCCUUCGGGUUGUAAAGCACUUUUGUUGGGAAAGAAAAGCAGCCGGUUAAUACCCGGUUGUCAUGACGGUACCCAAAGAAUAAGCACCGGCUAACUUCGUG